rnacentral:rRNA from 1 species
UACGUAGGUGGCAAGCGUUGUCCGGAUUUACUGGGCGUAAAGAGCGCGCAGGCGGUCGUUCAAGUCGCGUGUGAAAGCCCCCGGCUCAACUGGGGAGGGUCACGCGAUACUGAUCGACUCGAAGGCAGGAGAGGGUAGUGGAAUUCCCGGUGUAGUGGUGAAAUGCGUAGAUAUCGGGAGGAACACCAGUGGCGAAGGCGACAUCCUGGACCGGCAUUGACGCUGAUGAGCGAAAGCUAGGGGAGCAAACGGG